UUUUUGCCACAACAAUUUGGUGUCAGAAUAGUGGGAUCUCACAGUGGUUUCUUCUGGUCCUGAGCGGAUUUGACGAAGUGAUCAUCUCAGAGCACCAGGCUCUGGUCUUACCUCGAAAAUUGAGAGAGAAGAGCCAAAACUGCUUUCAGGGCCAGAGUGACUCAGAUGAGAUCAGAAAGAACCCGGUGGCAGUAAAAGCAUCUCAGGUAAGAGACUGUAAAUUGUUUAUUUUGAGUGGUGUAAUUCGACAUGACUGUGUGUGAACCAUAGUGGCUGACCAUCGCUUUGGUGCAAGCAAAGAAGGUUUUCAAGAGGCAAAUUGUAACAUGGGGCAGAGGUUUUCAAGAGGCAAAUUUUAUGCCGAAAACUAGAAGCUUUAAUUCAAUUUUAAUGCCGAAAACUAGCUUGUAGGUGGACGGAAGAGCCACAGCGAGCAGAGAACGUUUUCAAGAGGCAAAUUGUAACAUGGUGCAGAGGUUUUCAAGAGGCAAAUUGUAAAAUUUUAUGCCGAAAACUAGAAGCUUUAAUCAAUUUUAUGCCGAAAACUUGCUUGUAGGUGGACGGAAGAGCCACAGCUGAUUAGGUGAACUAGAAUCAUUCAAUCGAGUGAAGAUUUUGAGUAAGCUUAAUUUACAGAGCAUUUUUUGCUAACCUUGCCGAUUUGAGGUGACAAAAUCGGAUCUGUUGAAGACGUUUAACAGAUUAUAGACGUGCGUCGAAGGAAAUCCAGAAGAGAUUGAAGUCAGCCAACAUGGGAUCACCAAACAUUGUGUGCAGGUGAAAGCUGCCCAGAGGAAGGUUGCUGAGAUGUUUCUGCAUAAGAUCAGGCCGGGGGAUUACGUGGUAAUUCGUGACCUGAGGAGGAAGAACUGGAGGGCGAAACGGUGGCGAGGGC